GAUGAACGCUGGCGGCGUGCCUAAUACAUGCAAGUCGAGCGAACAGACGAGGAGCUUGCUCCUCUGACGUUAGCGGCGGACGGGUGAGUAACACGUGGAUAACCUACCUAUAAGACUGGGAUAACUUCGGGAAACCGGAGCUAAUACCGUAUAAUAUAUUGAACCGCAUGGUUCAAUAGUGAAAGACGGUUUUGCUGUCACUUAUCGAUGGAUCCGCGCCGCAUUAGCUAGUUGGUAAGGUAACGGCUUACCAAGGCAACGAUGCGUAGCCGACCUGAGAGGGUGAUCGGCCACACGGGAACUGAGACACGGUCCAGACUCCUACGGGAGGCAGCAGUAGGGAAUCUUCCGCAAUGGGCGAAAGCCUGACGGAGCAACGCCGCGUGAGUGAUGAAGGUCUUCGGAUCGUAAAACUCUGUUAUUAGGGAAGAACAAAUGUGUAAGUAACUAUGCACGUCUUGACGGUACCUAAUCAGAAAGCCACGGCUAACUACGUG
rnacentral:rRNA from 1 species